AAUAGCUCUCUUUUCCUCUAUCCUUGAGGAGGAUCUCAGCUUUUUUUGGCUGCUUUUGAUCUUUGAUUUUUUUUUUUUUUUUUGCUAAGUAUCUGAUCUUGAGAUAUUUUAAGUCAUAGCAUCAUUAUAACAUAUGAAGUUAAAGGAAAUGACCUGUUUAGAUCUCUUCCACCUAGCUUCCCAUUUGUUUAAGAGGAUUUGACUAUUUGCAUUGCAAGACCAGAUAUAGUAUUUUUUUUCACUACCACUUCCAUUACUCCUGUUAAUUUUACUGCUUUGGGCUAUGUUAAAUUUGCUUUUACCAGGAAUCAUCUUUGAAAUAUCUCAUUAUUAACAGUGCAUUCAUUCUCUCAGCAUGUUCUUUAGGACAUUUCUAAAUAGGCAAUAUUUCAUUAAUGUUUUAGGCUGUCACGUACACAAUUAUAUUAUCAUAGAGCUAUAAUACCGUUUUGCCUCUUCCUAUCACGGACUAUUUUACAGUGAUGUUAGUCUUGAUGUGUGUUUUUUGCAAUCCUUUACAGGUCUUCUGAAGUCUCAUCUGGUUUCUGAGUCUGCUACGAACUGCUUAAGACAGGCUCUGGAAACUGUAUCAAAGUAUGAAGGGAAGAGAGAAACUGUGUCAUUGUCCUCAGACUAUAUUCUCAGGUAUUUAAUUUCAUAAAGCUUAAUUUUUCUUGCC
rnacentral:lncRNA from 1 species